AACGAACGCUGGCGGCAUGCCUAACACAUGCAAGUCGAACGAGACCUUCGGGUCUAGUGGCGCACGGGUGCGUAACGCGUGGGAACCUGCCCUUAGGUUCGGAAUAACUCCCCGAAAGGGGUGCUAAUACCGGAUAAUGUCUUCGGACCAAAGAUUUAUCGCCUUUGGAUGGGCCCGCGUUGGAUUAGCUAGUUGGUAGGGUAAAAGCCUACCAAGGCGACUAUCCAUAGCUGGUCUGAGAGGAUGAUCAGCCACACUGAGACUGAGACACGGCCCAGACUCCUACGGGAGGCAGCAGUGGGGAAUAUUGGACAAUGGGCGAAAGCCUGAUCCAGCAAUGCCGCGUGAGUGAUGAAGGCCUUAGGGUUGUAAAGCUCUUUUACCCGGGAUGAUAAUGACAGUACCGGGAGAAUAAGCUCCGGCUAACUCCGU
rnacentral:rRNA from 1 species